rnacentral:rRNA from 1 species
GACGAACGCUGGCGGCGUGCCUAACACAUGCAAGUCGAGCGAGUGAAUCUCCUUCGGGAGUGAAGCUAGCGGCGGACGGGUGAGUAACACGUGGGCAACCUGCCUCAUAGAGGGGAAUAGCCUUUCGAAAGGAAGAUUAAUACCGCAUAAGAUUGUAGCUUCGCAUGAAGUAGCAAUUAAAGGAGCAAUCCGCUAUGAGAUGGGCCCGCGGCGCAUUAGCUAGUUGGUGAGGUAACGGCUCACCAAGGCGACGAUGCGUAGCCGACCUGAGAGGGGGAUCGGCCACAUUGGGACUAAGACACGGCCCAGACUCCUAUGGGAGGCAGCAGUGGGGAAUAUUGCACAAUGGGGGAAACCCUGAUGCAGCAACGCCGCGUGAGUGAUAACGGCCUUCGGGUUGUAAAGCUCUGUCUUCAGGGACGAUAAUGACGGUACCUGAGGAGGAAGCCACGGCUAACUACGUGCCAGCCGCCGCCGUAAGAC